AAAAUGAAACCGUAAGGCACUAAAUUGAUACACUUUAAACCACAUACUACUAAAGUGAGAAAGUGUGAAACUAUAAGGCACUACAACAAAAACGGUCUAUAGCGACACUUUUAAAUGUAGGUACAUGUCAAAAAAGUGCUGCUAGCUAAAAUUACCGACACUUUUAAAAAAUGUUGCUAUAUGUGGGGUCGCUAGGUAUAUAGUGACAGUUAAAGAGUGUCGCUAUAACCUAAAAGAGUGCUGCUAAUUUACGAACACUUAUUUAAGCAUUUAGCAACCGCCGAAACUUUAUCUCGUUGGCUGCGGUGGCGGAGGAGGACGACAGGAAAGACUCUUCGUCUAGAAUUUCAGUGGAUUGAGUGAAGAGAGAAGAAAAGAUGGCAAUUGAUUUUUCAUUUUUUUUUCUUUUCUGUUUGUAAUCGGGCCAAAUGGACUGGGUGUGGUGGGGUGAGUAGAGUAAUCUUUUAUUUUUGGUUGGAUUGAGCUUUAUAUUUAGGCAUUAGCAGAUAUUUUUUUAAGUUUUAGCAUAAAUGGGACACUUACUCAAAAGUGUCCCAAAUAUGUGUCCCUAUAACCUAAUUCUGUUGUAGUGAGGGUGGUGUUUGAAAUUUUUCCAGUUUUUAUUAAUUAUAUAAUUAUUUUGAUCACAUAUGGUGCGCGUAAUUUUGCAAAGCUUCAAAUUAUAAAAUUUUGUUUUUUUCCUCUUAUUUUGAUAAUUACGCAUAAAAUUUGAAGAAUAAGUUAGAUUUUUAUUAUUUUUAUUUGUAU
rnacentral:lncRNA from 1 species